GACGAACGCUGGCGGCGUGCCUAAUACAUGCAAGUCGAACGCAGUGGGGACGGGUGAGUAAAACGUGGGUAACCUCCCAUCAGAGGGGAUAACACUUGGAAACAGGUGCUAAACCGAUACUGAUGGAUGGACCCGCGGUGCAUUAGCUAUUUGGUGAGGUAACGGCUCAACAAGGCCACGCUGCAUAGCCGACCUGAGAGGGUGUUCGUCCCCCCUGGGACUGAUACCCGGCCCAGUCUCCUACGUGAGGCAGCAGUAGGGAAUCUUCGGCAAUGGACGAAAGUCUGACCGAUCAACGCCGCGUGAGUGAAGAAGGUUUUCGGAUCGUAAACCUCUGUUGUUAGAGAAGCGGUAUCUAACCAGAAUGCCACGGCUAACUACGUGCCAGCAGCCGCGGUAAUUC
rnacentral:rRNA from 1 species